rnacentral:piRNA from 1 species
UCCUCACCACUAGGUAUGGCUCCUUCGGA